rnacentral:rRNA from 1 species
GAUGAACGCUGGCGGCGUGCUUAACACAUGCAAGUCGAACGGAAAGGCCCAAGCUUGCUUGGGUACUCGAGUGGCGAACGGGUGAGUAACACGUGGGUGAUCUGCCCUGCACCUCGGGAUAAGCCUGGGAAACUGGGUCUAAUACCGGAUAGGACGAUGGUUUGGAUGCCAUUGUGGAAAGUUUUUUCGGUGUGGGAUGAGCUCGCGGCCUAUCAGCUUGUUGGUGGGGUAAUGGCCUACCAAGGCGUCGACGGGUAGCCGGCCUGAGAGGGUGUACGGCCACAUUGGGACUGAGAUACGGCCCAGACUCCUACGGGAGGCAGCAGUGGGGAAUAUUGCACAAUGGGCGCAAGCCUGAUGCAGCGACGCCGCGUGGGGGAUGACGGCCUUCGGGUUGUAAACUCCUUUCGCUAGGGACGAAGCGUUUUUGUGACGGUACCUGGAGAAGAAGCACCGGCUAACUACGUG